rnacentral:rRNA from 1 species
CGGUUGAUCCUGCCGGACCCGACUGCUAUUUGGGUGAGGAUAAGCCAUGCGAGUCGUAUGGGAUUCCUAAAAUUUCCAUGGCAGACUGCUCAGUAACACAUGAUCAACUUACCCUAUAGAGAAAAAUACCCUCGGGAAACUGAGGAUAAUGUUUCAUAGUUGAAAAGGCUUGGAAAAGUUUUUCAACGAAAUGGGUAAGAAAAAUGGUUCUUAUCUGCUAUAGGAUAGGAUCGUGGUCGAUUAUGGUUGUUGGUGAGGUAACGGCUCACCAAGCCGAUAAUCGAUAGGGGCCGUGAGAGCGGGAGCCCCGAGAUGGGUACUGAGACAACGACCCAGGCCUUACGAGGCGCAGCAGGCGCGAAACCUCCGCAAUACACGAAAGUGUGACGGGGUUACCCAAAGUGUUCAAUAUUGAACUGUGGUAGGUGAGUAAUGUCCCCUACUAGAAAGGAGAGGGCAAGGCUGGUGCCAGCCGCCGCGGUAAAACCAGCUCUUCAAGUGGUCGGGAUAAUUAUUGGGCUUAAAGUGUCCGUAGCCGGUUUAGUAAGUUCCUGGUAAAAUCGGGUAGCUUAACUAUCCGUAUGCUAGGAAUACUGCUAUACUAGAGGGCGGGAGAGGUCUGAGGUACUACAGGGGUAGGGGUGAAAUCUUAUAAUCCUUGUAGGACCACCAGUGGCGAAGGCGUCAGACUGGAACGCGCCUGACGGUGAGGGACGAAAGCCAGGGGAGCGAACCGGAUUAGAUACCCGGGUAGUCCUGGCCGUAAACGAUGCAUACUAGGUGAUGGUACGGCCAUGAGCCGUGUCAGUGCCGUAGGGAAACCGUUAAGUGUGCCGCCUGGGAAGUACGGUCGCAAGGCUAAAACUUAAAGGAAUUGGCGGGGGAGCAC